rnacentral:rRNA from 1 species
AAGUGGCGGACGGGUGAGUAACGCGUGAGGAACCUGCCUUGAAGAGGGGGACAACAGUUGGAAACGACUGCUAAUACCGCAUGAAGCAUAGGGGUCGCAUGAUUCUUAUGCCAAAGAUUUAUCGCUUCAAGAUGGCCUCGCGUCUGAUUAGCUAGUUGGCGGGGUAACGGCCCACCAAGGCGACGAUCAGUAGCCGGACUGAGAGGUUGAACGGCCACAUUGGGACUGAGAUACGGCCCAGACUCCUACGGGAGGCAGCAGUGGGGAAUAUUGGGCAAUGGGCGCAAGCCUGACCCAGCAACGCCGCGUGAAGGAAGAAGGCUUUCGGGUUGUAAACUUCUUUUAAGAGGGAAGAGCAGAAGACGGUACCUCUAGAAUAAGCCACGGCUAACUACGUGCCAGCAGCCGCGGUAAUACGUAGAUGGCAAGCGUUGUCCGGAUUUACUGGGUGUAAAGGGCGUGCAGCCGGGUCUGCAAGUCAGAUGUGAAAUCCAUGGGCUCAACCCAUGAACUGCAUUUGAAACUGUAGAUCUUGAGUGUCGGAGGGGCAAUCGGAAUUCCUAGUGUAGCGGUGAAAUGCGUAGAUAUUAGGAGGAACACCAGUGGCGAAGGCGGAUUGCUGGACGAUAACUGACGGUGAGGCGCGAAAGUGUGGGGAGCAAACAGGAUUAGAUACCCUGGUAGUCCACACUGUAAACGAUGAAUACUAGGUGUGCGGGGACUGACCCCCUGCGUGCCGCAGUAAACACAAUAAGUAUUCCACCUGGGGA